rnacentral:rRNA from 1 species
UCUUGGUCAUUUAGAGGAAGUAAAAGUCGUAACAAGGUUUCCGUAGGUGAACCUGCGGAAGGAUCAUUAAUGAUUGCGAACGGCUGCCUUCAGUGCUGGCUCUUAGGAGCAAGUGCACGUUGGUGGCUUUCAUCCAACACCCUGUGAACCUUUGGCCUCUUGCUAGCUUCGGCUGGCAGAGGAUUUUUAUAACACACUCGAAUGUAAUGAGAACUAUUGUCGUGCGCAAGCACUAAUGUACAACUUUCAACAACGGAUCUCUUGGCUCUCGCAUCGAUGAAGAACGCAGCGAAAUGCGAUAAGUAAUGUGAAUUGCAGAAUUCAGUGAAUCAUCGAAUCUUUGAACGCACCUUGCACCCUUUGGCAUUCCGAAGGGUAUGCUCGUUUGAGUGUCAUUGUACUCUCACACUCUCUGAUCCUUUGGAUUCAGGGAGCGGUGGACUUGGGUGUGUGCUGCUUUCCUUGUGGCUCGCCUCAAAUGUGUUWGUGCACCUCUUGGUUGGACAUAGAACGGCGUGAUAAGUGUCUUCGCCGGCGCCUCGCAAGAGGGUGGCCAAUUGGGAGCUCUGUGCUCUCAAACCGUCUUCGGACAAUCUCUGACAACUUGACCUC